rnacentral:rRNA from 1 species
GAUGAACGCUAGCGGCAGGCCUAAUACAUGCAAGUCGAACGGUGUAGCAAUACGCAGUGGCGCACGGGUGCGUAACACGUAUGCAACCUACCUUACAUUGGGGGAUAGCCUUUCGAAAGGGAGAUUAAUACCGCAUAAGACAGUAACUAGGCAUCUAGUAGCUGUUAAAGAUUUAUCGAUGUAAGCUGGGCAUGCGUCCAAUUAGUUAGUUGGUGAGGUAAUGGCUCACCAAGACGAUGAUUGGUAGGGGAACUGAGAGGUCAAUCCCCCACACUGGCACUGAGAUGCGGGCCAGACUCCUACGGGAGGCAGCAGUAGGGAAUAUUGGGCAAUGGGCGCAAGCCUGACCCAGCCAUGCCGCGUGCAGGAAGAAGGCGCUAUGCGUUGUAAACUGCUUUUAUACAGGAAGAAACGACCCUUGCGAGGGGCAUUGACGGUACUGUAUGAAUAAGCACCGGCUAACUCCGUGCCAGCCGCCGCUGUAAAAC